rnacentral:rRNA from 1 species
UGGUGGAGUGAUUUGUCUGGUUAAUUCCGUUAACGAACGAGACUCUAGCCUGCUAAAUAGGCGGGCGAUCCCUUUGUGGGUCGACCCGAUUGCUUCUUAGAGGGACAAGUGGCUUUUAGCCACGCGAGAUUGAGCAAUAACA